GCUCAUCGAGCAGGUUGGUCCUGGGAGUUCAUUAGCCUCUGGGCCAUCGAGGAGGUGGGGCUGCCCAGGAAUGAUCUCCCGGGAGCUUUUCAGGUGGUUCCAAGCACUCUCCUAGGAGGGUAGUCUGGUUGUGGUCUCAUUUGAUCCUCCCACAGCUCUGGCCUGUAGAAAGUUGCAUGUAUUUAUUGCUUAAUGAAUAAAAUAACGAAGUUGUGAAGUGAUGGUUGCCCCGGAGUCAGCCACAGGAGAGCACCCAGCCGGGGUCGAGAGAGGACCAGACAGGAGCAAGGGAGACUGUUUGCCAGGAAGCUGUUACCUGCCAAAAGACCGUAGAUGCCAGUGUCUGGUUGGGCAAAAGGAGACCGAC